rnacentral:rRNA from 1 species
UACGAGGGGUGCAAGCGUUGCUCGGAAUUAUUGGGCGUAAAGGGUAGGUAGGUGGUCUCAUUUGUCCGGGGUGAAAGCCUUGAGCUUAACUCAAGAAGUGCCUCGGAAACGGUGAGACUAGAGUCUUGGAGAGGGUCGUGGAAUUCCCGGUGUAGCGGUGAAAUGCGUAGAGAUCGGGAGGAACACCAGAGGCGAAGGCGGCGACCUGGACAAGUACUGACGCUGAGACGCGAAAGCGUGGGGAGCGAACAGG